GACGAAGGGGGCUAGCGUUGCUCGGAAUUACUGGGCGUAAAGCGCGUGUAGGUGGUUGUCCAAGUUGGAUGUGAAAGCCUUGAGCUCAACUCAAGAAAUGCAUUCAGGACUGGAUGGCUAGAGGACCGGAGAGGAUAGUGGAAUUCCCAGUGUAGUGGUGAAAUACGUAGAGAUUGGGAAGAACACCAGUGGCGAAGGCGGCUAUCUGGACGGUUUCUGACACUAAGACUCGAAAGCGUGGGGAGCAAACAGG
rnacentral:rRNA from 1 species